AUGUUAAAAUAAAACAAACCUGACUCAUAAUCAGGUGGUCCCUGGUUCGAGCCCAGGU
rnacentral:tRNA from 1 species